rnacentral:rRNA from 1 species
UACAGAGGUCUCAAGCGUUGUUCGGAUUCAUUGGGCGUAAAGGGUGCGUAGGCGGUCCUAUAAGUCAGUGGUGAAAUACGGCAGCUCAACUGUCGAGGUGCCAUUGAUACUGCAGGACUAGAGUACUGUUGAGGUAGGCGGAAUGGACGGUGUAGCGGUGAAAUGCUUAGAUAUCGUCCAGAACACCGAUAGCGAAGGCAGCUUACUAAAGAGUAACUGACGCUGAGGCACGAAAGUGUGGGGGAUCAAACAGG